CCCUUAGAUGUCCUGGGCCGCACGCGCGCUACACUGAGUGUCUGAGAUACGAGACUGCCUGGUCCGGCAAGGUCUAGGUAAUCGCUAAAAGACACAUCAUGCUUGGGAUAGAUUAUUGCAAAUAUUAAUCUUGAACGAGGAAUUCCUAGUAAGCGCAAGUCAACAGCUUGCGUUGAUUACGUCCCUGCCCUUUGUACACACCGCCCGUCGCUACUACUGAUUGGAUGUUUAAGCGAGGUUCUCGAACUGCUAGCGACUUAGCUUCGGUGAGGUCGCAGUGUGGGAAGUGAACCUAGCUUUGGUGUCUAGAGGAAGUAAAAGUCGUAACA
rnacentral:rRNA from 1 species